rnacentral:rRNA from 1 species
CAUGGAGGGUGAGAAUCCCGUUUGGCCAAAUCGAGUUCGCAUUACGAUACGCUUUUUAAGAGUCGAGUUGUUUGGGAUUGCAGCUCAAAAUGGGAGGUAAAUUUCUCCUAAGGCUAAAUAACGGCGAGAGACCGAUAGCGAACAAGUACCGUGAGGGAAAGAUGAAAAGAAUUUUGAAAAGAAAGUCAAACAGUACGUGAAAUUGUUGAAAGGGAAACGAUUGAAGCCAGUCGUACCGACGGGAAUUCAACUUCUCGAGUGCUAAUCGUGGGUGACGUUGAGCCUCACGGCCCUCGUUGCUUGUGUUGUUGGUGCUUUUGGGGUGUACUUUUCCGUAUGGUAGGUCAGCAUCGACUUCGAUCGUCAUAAAAUGAUCGGGGGAAUGUAGCUUCGGUCUCGUAUCGGAGUGUUAUAGACCUUGGCAGAUGUGACGAUUGGGAUCGAGGAUUGCAACGAAUACCCUCUGGGCUAUCCGUCUGUCCUCUGAAAGUCGCUCGGGUGUCGAAAGCGUGCUUAUGUCUAUUCGAGUUGGCGGUCAAUAGGUUAGAACGUGAUUAUAUUCGUUAAGGAUGUUGACGUA